GAGCGUUAGCUGAGCAACAGGUAUACGCGCAACGAGUAUCGAUAGUACUUGAAGCAGAAUAUCGUUUAGUUGUAAUUGAGAUUUCAUUUGAUUCGGUUGGGCCGCGCGUGUGCUUAAUCUUGACAGAUUUCCAGCGGGAAAAAAUAAAUCGUAGUGUGAUCCAAAAUACACAUUGCCCUUUUGAAUUUGUUAAAAAGUUGUGUACAAAGAAUGUGCGAAUUGGAUAAAGUCAAAGCAAGUCACGACUAGUUUUUACCAAAAGCAACUAUCUUCGGCGCAGGUGCAACGCGUUUCUUUAGCGUGUGAGUUUUUUUUUUUUAAAGGUACCAAAGCAAUAACAAGUUCAAGCAUAUCCAUAAUAUCGUCUUACAAAAAUUUGUAAGUGUGUGCGAGUGUCUGUGUGUCUGAUGCUGUUGUAGUGUGCGUGUUGCGCAGUUUUGAAAACGCGUUUGCGGUUUUUCUCGCUCCGAAAUGGAAAGUGCCAGCCGCUUGGCUGCUCCUGCGUUUGUUGUGAUACACCCGAUCACAUUAUUGAUCGAUUGUCGAUCAAUCUAAACAUAAAUCGAAUCACAAACAAAGAGUUUUAGGCAACGUUUGCUCAAUGCACGUUAGAUAAUGCGCGGAUGAUGUCAAAUGUGCUCGAUGAAUAACUAAAGUCCAAUGACAUUGUGAACAC